rnacentral:lncRNA from 1 species
CCAUCUGGUGGGGGCACAUACUGUCUUUAGGAAAGCGACGUUGUAACGCGCCUUGAAGUGUAUUGUAUUUGAAGACACUGCCAUACCAACCAAAUAAUUUUUCCAACAGGAACUCCAGUGUAAUUAGUAACGGAGUGAGGGAAAUCCAAGUGAGUCGCAUAUCCGUGCAAUUACCAUCUUGAAAACUCAUGCUAAAAGUCUCAUAUUUGUAACCCAAGUGCCCUUUGCUUUUGGGUAGUUAAGUGUUGAUUAUACUGACAAACUUGUGGUUGGCUUCAGAUGCAAAAUUAUUUGAGGAAGAAGGAACAAAAAGAACAAAUAGAAAAGGACCUCCGUGAAGGGCUGAAGCUUUACAAGUAAACCUUUAUCUGUCAAUUAGAACUUCUUUUGGUGUUUCUUUUGUCUUCUUGCUAUUCUUUGGUUCAGCAUCUCAUCCCCGAGACUCUUGUUUCCAAUUUAUUGGAUCUGCACUAUUUAAUGUACAAGAAAAAAAGGAGUUAGCCCUAAUCAUUCAAGGAGAAUAGCUUCAAUUUCAGUUUGGUAGUUUAGAUAUGGAUUUCAAUAUUGAAUUUGAGAACUGUCAUGAUGGAUUUAAAACAACAAUGUAUGAGAAGAAUAACUUGAAAUCUUCAAUACCAAGGAUUCUAGUUGUACAAAACAAAUCAAGUACAUUUUUCUUAUCUCACGCAUUUGCUCACAUCAUUUGAUGCCUUCCAUCGUUGUUAUUGGUUUAUUUAGGACGCAUUAGGUCUUCAUCUUUUUUGUUUAUAACCAAAUAAAGAAACUGUCACCUAUAUUGUUCUCAGAUGACUUUGAAAAUCAUUUGUUACCUUCCAAACACCUUCCAUGUCAUAUUUUCCCAAUAUUCAUGCAUUCUGAGAUAAUAUUAUGUGGCUGAAAGUCUUUUUCUCUUUCUGGAAAACGAUGGAGGACUUCAAAUACAAGGAAGCACUGGAGAAAUUUGAGUCAGUGUUGGGGUCAAAACCGGAUCCAACUGAAGCUUCGGUGGCUAGCUACAAUGCCGUGUGUUGCUAUUCUAAACUUAAUCAGGUGGUACUCAGACUUCCAAAGCAAUGGUAUAAUAUCAUUAUAUUCUUGUGUUAAUAGUUUUUAAUUCUAAUUUCCUUUUAUUUUGUGAUUUCAGAUACAAGCUGGACUUUCAGGAUUCGAAGAUUUCAAGGUAACGAAUAGAACAAAUUUAACGUACUUUAUGCUAAAUUCUAAUUCUGCAACUGUUGCUACGUUUACAGCGAAUCAGGACAGACCCUGAUCUAGCCAACAUCAGAACAUCAGAAGAAUUUGAGCCUCUUAUGAAAAGGUUUGAUGAAUCGUUUAUCAACAAGAACGCCACCCAUGCCAUCAAGUCUAUCUUUGGAUUUAUUCUGUGUGGAGCAAAUUUCAUAAUAGUGCCCAGAAGAACUUCAAAGGCACGUCAAGAAUGUCGUUUUCCUUAAAGCGUUAUUCGCCCACACCAAUCUGUAAGACUGAGUAUGCCCACUGGGUUCACAGCGGGAACGCCUUUAGGAUACAAUGAAGCCUCAGAAGUUAAUCUGAUGUCUGACUGCGUUCUGCACAAACGAAAUCAGACCAAAAUUACUUUCAGAUUUUUCUGGUAGCCAAGAAUCUGAAAAUUCUGUUUCUGCAGAAAACAGAAUUCAAGAACAAGUUGGAAAAAUGUAAUUUAACAAGGAAAAAGAGAAGUUCGAAAACAAGUGAUUUAAUUGCUGAAAAAUUGUCAAUUAUAGCUGAAUAGUGUUUUUAAUGAAGAGGUGUAUUGAAGAAAGAUGAUGGUUAAUUCAAAAUCUAACAGUCAUUUUUAACAGUAAUUAGAUUUAUUAAACAAGUCCAUCGAUCACACCUUUUAGUAUUCAAAGGUUUGGAGAUCGCACCUCUUCAAUAUCCAAUCAAGCCGUUAUCACAUCUUAUAAUAGAUGUGUUUUUCACCAUAGAUCUUGUAAUCUUAAUAUAACCCCGAUCGUUGUGACAUCAUGAAUAAAAAAAUCAAUGGUCUUGAUCACAAGACACAAGUGCCAAAAGUGCGCCACCGCAUGCGGAAAGUUGCACCGUCCUACAUGGCACAUCACUUAUACCCAAGUAUAGUGCCUAGCCACAAUAAGACAAAAAACAAGAGUCAUAAUGGACUAUCACAUUAAAAAACUUUUUACUUCCCCCCCCAUCUCUUUUUUCAAUGUGGGACUCCAAAAACUUCAAACAAUUCAUAUAUACAUUAUAUUUGUGAAAAAUAUUUUUUUAACUAUUCAAACAAGAACUAGAGAUUGAGAAGACCUGAGCUUGUCAUUGUAUUUGAGAUUUUACAACUGAACUGGUGCAAGUAUUGGCCUGACCAUCUCGAGUUUCCAUACAGAUGGCUUUCCCAUUUGUUUGUUGUUUUUUACACAUGAUCAAUUUUGGAAGUUGAAAUGAUUUUUGAUUGUUUUAUCUAAUUGUAUCUCUAGUUAAAUUCUGUCUCCUGUAAUUAUCUGGACAAAAGGAUUGAAGGAAUAAAUAAAAGAUUUCCUUUCCAUCAUCUUGGUGUUACAAUAACUUUCAGUUAAAAUGGUGAUGCAAGAUCAUGCUGCACAAGUGAAAGAAAGGGGAUAGAAUUUUAUGCAGAAAAGCAGUGGCAGUAGUGUUUUCUAAAUUUUGAGCCAACGAGGUUUUGGUUUGAAUGAAAAAUACAAGGCCACACCAUUCUUUGCAAGAAUUCUAUAAAAGAAAUUCUAUUUGUGUAUCAUUUCCUGCGUAUUCAAGAUACUGUUUCAAUAGCACGUAUAAGAGAAAAUGAAAUUUCUGUUUCGUAUCAAAGUCAUUCAACUGAACUUGUCAAUUGCUGUAUGAUACAUUAAUCUACUCGAAAUAAAGUCUUCCAAGACAAUUCUAAACCAUUCCAUGAGCCUUUCAAGGACUUAAAACUGACCUGGAGGAUAGUGACUUAGGCAUGAUGUGUGACUUUAGAGUAAUUGCUCAUGACUCCUUCCACCGAACCAAAAGAAUCCUUAGAAUGGGGAUCCCAACUUGGCACCCUUGAGUGAGGGUGAGAUUUUGAGAAGAGUUUCUCUUUCAAUUUUGUAAAAUUUCCAUUGUAUAAUGAAUUAAAGCAAGUUUAUCUUUAUAAGAACAUUAUCUUGGGAUGGGUGGACCAGAC